ACGGGUUUGGGGAUUUGUUUACGUCGGGUUUAAGGUUUAUUUCGGGUCUGGAUUUAAAUUUUGGGUGUUUUGAAAUUGGGCAUCUGUAACUUGGGUUUGUAACUAUAGACUGAUGGACUUUUAAUAAUUUUUGUUUUUAUUUUUUAUAUUUUUUUGUUUAUUUAUUUCUGAUUUGGGCGGAGCAAAUUUGGGUUAUUACACUCGAAAUAUGAAAUCCCUAAUGACAUGUCAUUCAUAUCCUAAGAAUUCUUAAGGUUUAAACGGGAUUCGAUAUACAUCAACAUUCAUACAUCGAUAC
rnacentral:lncRNA from 1 species